UGGGGAAUUUUGCACAAUGGGGGAAACCCUGAUGCAGCGACGCCGCGUGAUUUAGAAGGCCUUCGGGUUGUAAAAAUCUUUUUUAUGGGAUGAAAAUGACAGUACCAUAAGAAUAAGAUCCGGCUAAAUACGUGCCAGCAGCCGCGGUAAUACGUAUGGACCGAGCGUUGUCCGGAAUCAUUGGGCGUAAAGGGUACGUAGGCGGCCCAGUAAGUUAGAAGUGAAAUAAUAUAGCUCAACUAUAUAAAGCUUUUAAAACUGCUAGGCUUGAGAGAUGGAAGGGAAAGUGGAAUUCCUAGUGUAGCGGUGAAAUGUGCAGAUAUUAGGAAGAAUACCGGUGGCGAAGGCGACUUUCUGGUCAUCAUCUGACGCUGAGGUACGAAAGCGUGGGUAGCAAACAGG
rnacentral:rRNA from 1 species